rfam:Myotis davidii contig59399, whole genome shotgun sequence.
UUUCGGUGGUCUUCCUCCCAGGUCUCCUCCCAGGGAAGGGGGCACAGAGCCGCGGGACUUAGUUAUGCGCGGCUGCGCCGGCGGCCGGGCUAAUGACUGCCGGCUGCGGUUGUGGUUUUCAC